rnacentral:misc_RNA from 1 species
AAAUAAAAUAAAAUAAAAACCUAAGCAGUGGUUUGACUUGAUUGUUGGAUCUAGCUUGCCUUAGAUACAACACAAUAUUGGAAGUUCUAGAUAAUGAAGACAGACUGUUAGGUUCUUCUGUAGCAGCCUCCGCCUACAAUGUACAGACAAAUGGACCAGUUAAGCUAGUCCAUCCAUCAAAAGAGAUGUCAAUCUAAUGAGUUAAAGAGGUGAUACAAGCAAUAGUUGUCAAGCUUUUCAGAAAGCUAUUUGCUCAACAGAAAAAGAGAAGAAUAAGGGCUUCGGAAGGAUACAGGAACAAACCU